UACAGAGAGGGCAAGCGUUAUUCGGAAUUAUUGGGCAUAAAGGGCGCGUAGACGGCUUCGCAAGUGGAAGGUGAAAUCCCUCGGCUUAACCGAGGAACUGCCCUCCAAACUGCGUUGCUUAAAACCAAGAAAGGUGAGUGGAAUUCCCAGUGUAGCGGUGAAAUGCGUAGAUAUUGGGAGGAACACCAGUGGCGAAGGCGGCUCACUGGACCGGUUCUGACGCUGAGACGCGAAAGCGUGGGGAGCAAACGGG
rnacentral:rRNA from 1 species